rnacentral:rRNA from 1 species
CCUACGGGAGGCAGCAGUGGGGAAUAUUGCACAAUGGGCGCAAGCCUGAUGCAGCCAUGCCGCGUGUAUGAAGAAGGCCUUCGGGUUGUAAAGUACUUUCAGCAGUGAGGAAGGUGGGUAUGUUAAUAGCAUACUCAUUUGACGUUAGCUGCAGAAGAAGCACCGGCUAACUCCGUGCCAGCAGCCGCGGUAAUACGGAGGGUGCGAGCGUUAAUCGGAAUUACUGGGCGUAAAGCGCAUGCAGGUGGUUUGUUAAGUCAGAUGUGAAAGCCCGGGGCUCAACCUCGGAAUUGCAUUUGAAACUGGCAAACUAGAGUACUGUAGAGGGGGUAGAAUUUCAGGUGUAGCGGUGAAAUGCGUAGAGAUCUGAAGGAAUACCGGUGGCGAAGGCGGCCCCCUCGGACAGAUACUGACACUCAGAUGCGAAAGCGUGGGGAGCAAACAGGAUUAGAUACCCUGGUAG